UACGGAGGGUGCGGGCGUUAUCCGGAUUCACUGGGUUUAAAGGGUGCGUAGGUGGGAAUGUAAGUCAGUGGUGAAAUCUCCGUGCUUAACACGGAAACUGCCAUUGAUACUAUGUUUCUUGAAUUUUCUGGAGGUUAGCGGAAUAUGUCAUGUAGCGGUGAAAUGCUUAGAUAUGACAUAGAACACCGAUUGCGAAGGCAGCUAACUACAGGGAUAUUGACACUGAGGCACGAAAGCGUGGGGAUCAAACAGG
rnacentral:rRNA from 1 species